UCGGCUACCAUGCAGUCGAGGGGCAGCAUUUUAGUUUGCUUGCAAACUGAAGAUGGCGACCGGCGCACGGGUGAGUAACACGUAUCCAACCUGCCGAUAACUCCGGGAUAGCCUUUCGAAAGAAAGAUUAAUACCNGAUNGCAUACNAAUANCGCAUGAUAUUUUUAUUAAAGAAUUUCGGUUAUCGAUGGGGAUGCGUUCCAUUAGUUUGUUGGCGGGGUAACGGCCCACCAAGACAACGAUGGAUAGGGGUUCUGAGAGGAAGGUCCCCCACAUUGGAACUGAGACACGGUCCAAACUCCUACGGGAGGCAGCAGUGAGGAAUAUUGGUCAAUGGNCGAGAGCCUGAACCAGCCAAGUAGCGUGAAGGAUGANNGCNCUAUGGGUCGUAAACUUCUUUUAUAUGGGAAUAAAGUAUUCCACGUGUGGAAUUUUGUAUGUACCAUAUGAAUAAGGAUCGGCUAACUCCGUGCCAGCAGCCGCGGUAAUACGGAGGAUCCGAGCGUUAUCCGGAUUUAUUGGGUUUAAAGGGAGCGUAGGUGGAUUGUUAAGUCAGUUGUGAAAGUUUGCGGCUCAACCGUAAAAUUGCAGUUGAAACUGGCAGUCUUGAGUACAGUAGAGGUGGGCGGAAUUCGUGGUGUAGCGGUGAAAUGCUUAGAUAUCACGAAGAACUCCGAUUGCGAAGGCAGCUCACUAGACUGUCACUGACACUGAUGCUCGAAAGUGUGGGUAUCAAACAGGAUUAGAUACCCUGGUAGUCCACACAGUAAACGAUGAAUACUCGCUGUUUGCGAUAUACAGUAAGCGGCCAAGCGAAAGCAUUAAGUAUUCCACCUGGGGAGUACGCCGGCAACGGUGAAACUCAAAGGAAUUGACGGGGGCCCGCACAAGCGGAGAAACAUGUGGUUUAAUUCGAUGAUACGCGAGGAACCUUACCCGGGCUUAAAUUGCANCAGAAUAUUUUGGAAACAGUAUAGCCGNAAGGCNNNUGUGAAGGUGCUGCAUGGUUGUCGUCAGCUCGUGCCGUGAGGUGUCGGCUUAAGUGCCAUAACGAGCGCAACCCUUAUCUUUAGUUACUAACAGGUCAUGCUGAGGACUCUAGAGAGACUGCCGUCGUAAGAUGUGAGGAAGGUGGGGAUGACGUCAAAUCAGCACGGCCCUUACGUCCGGGGCUACACACGUGUUACAAUGGGGGGUACAGAAGGCAGCUACCUGGNGACAGGAUGCUAAUCCCAAAAACCUCUCUCAGUUCGGAUCGAAGUCUGCAACCCGACUUCGUGAAGCUGGAUUCGCUAGUAAUCGCGCAUCAGCCAUGGCGCGGUGAAUACGUUCCCGGGCCUUGUACACACCGCCCGUCAAGCCAUGAAAAGCCGGGGGUACCCUGAAGUACGUAACCCGCAAGGAGCUCCUAGGGUAAAGCUAUU
rnacentral:rRNA from 1 species